CAAACGGUCCUUUUAAGGACCAUCGAAAAUGAUUUU
rfam:Aedes albopictus isolate Foshan contig185323, whole genome shotgun sequence.